AAUGAACGUUGGCGGCAUGGAUUAGGCAUGCAAGUCGAGCGAGAAGUUCACCUUCGGGUGGACGGAAAGCGGCGAAAGGGAGAGUAACGCGUAGUUACCUACCCCGAGGCCCGGAAUAGCCCGCCGAAAGGCGGGGUAAUGCCGGAUAAUAUCUACGGAUCAAAGGUGUGAUUCCGCCUCGGGAGGGGACUGCGUUGUACUAGCUAGUUGGUAGGGUAAUGGCCUACCAAGGCGAUGAUGCAUAGCGGGCGUGAGAGCGUGGCCCGUCUCACUGGGACUGAGACACUGCCCAGACACCUACGGGUGGCUGCAGUCGAGAAUCUUCGGCAAUGGGCGAAAGCCUGACCGAGCGAUGCCGCGUGCGGGAUGAAGGCCCUCGGGUUGUAAACCGCUGUCAGUUGGGAGGAAGGCUCCGUGAAGAACGGAGUUUGACCUAUCUUCAGAGGAAGUCCGGGCUAAGUUCGUGCCAGCAGCCGCAGUAACAC
rnacentral:rRNA from 1 species